GAUGAACGCUAGCGGGAGGCCUAACACAUGCAAGCCGAGCGGGAUUUGUUGGUUAGCUUGCUAACUAACAAUGAGAGCGGCGUACGGGUGCGUAGCACGUGUGCAACCUGCCUUUAUCUGGGGGAUAGCCUUUCGAAAGGAAGAUUAAUACCCCAUAACAUAUUGAUUGGCAUCAGUUAAUAUUGAAAGCUCCGGCGGAUAGAGAUGGGCACGCGUAAGAUUAGCUAGUUGGUGAGGUAACGGCUCACCAAGGCUGCGAUCUUUAGGGGGCCUGAGAGGGUGAUCCCCCACACUGGUACUGAGACACGGACCAGACUCCUACGGGAGGCAGCAGUGAGGAAUAUUGGACAAUGGGUGAGAGCCUGAUCCAGCCAUCCCGCGUGAAGGACUAAGGACCUAUGGUUUGUAAACUUCUUUUAUACAGGGAUAAACCUACUCUCGUGAGGGUAGCUGAAGGUACUGUAUGAAUAAGCACCGGCUAACUCAGUG
rnacentral:rRNA from 1 species